rnacentral:rRNA from 1 species
GCCGCCGCGGUAAUACGGAGGAUGCGAGCGUUAUCCGGAUUUAUUGGGUUUAAAGGGAGCGUAGACGGGAUGUUAAGUCAGCUGUGAAAGUUUGGGGCUCAACCUUAAAAUUGCAGUUGAAACUGGCAUUCUUGAGUGCGGCAGAGGCAGGCGGAAUUCGUGGUGUAGCGGUGAAAUGCUUAGAUAUCACGAAGAACUCCGAUUGCGAAGGCAGCUUGCUGGAGCGUAACUGACGUUGAUGCUCGAAAGUGUGGGUAUCAAACAGGAUUAGAUACCCC